GAUGAACGCUGGCGGCGUGCUUAACACAUGCAAGUCGAACGGAAAGGCCCAAGCUUGCUUGGGUACUCGAGUGGCGAAAGGGUGAGUAACACGUGGGUGAGGUGCCCUGCACUUCGGGAUAAGCGGGGGUAAGUGGGGCUGAUACCGGAUAGGACAACAUUUUGGUUGGUGUGGUGGAAAGUUUUUCGGUUUGGGUUGAGUGCGUGGCCUAUCAGCUAGUUGGUGGGGUCGUGGCCUACUAAGGCGUCGACGGGUAGCCGGCCUGCGAGGGUGUACGGCCACGUUUGGACUGUGAUACGUCCCAGCCUGCUACGGGCGGCAGCAGUGGGGAAUAUUGCACACUGGGCGCAAGCCUGGUGCGGCGACGCCGCGUGGGGGCUGACGGCCUUCGGGUUGUAAACUCCUUUCGCUAGGGACGCAGCGCAAGUGACGGUACCUGGAGAAGAAGCGCCGGCUAGCUACGUG
rnacentral:rRNA from 1 species